GUCUAUGGCCAUGCCACCCUGAACAAGCCCGAUCCCAUCUGAUCCUGGAAGAUAAGCAGGGUGGGGCCUGGUUAGUACUUGGAUGGGAGACCACCUAGGAAGACCAGGUGCUGUAGGCG
rnacentral:rRNA from 1 species